GCCAGGGGCGGUGGCACAUGCCUGUAGUCCCAGCUACUUGGGAGGCUGAGGUGCGAGGAUCGCUUGAGCCCAGGAGUUCUGGGCUGUAGUGUGCUAUGCCAGUCGGGUGUCCGCACUAAGUCUGGCAUCAACAUGGUGACCUCCCGGGAGCGGAGGACCACCAGGUUGCCUAAGAAGGGGAGAACCAGCCCAGGUUGGAAACAGAGCACGUCAAAACUCCUGUGCUGAUCAGUAGUGGGAUUGCACCUGCACUCCAGCCUGGGCAACAUAGCAAGACCCUGUCUCUA
ensembl:misc_RNA Metazoa_SRP Metazoan signal recognition particle RNA